rnacentral:tRNA from 1 species
GGCUAAUUUAAUAAAGAAGACUUAAAAUCUUCUACACACAUUUUUAUGUGAUUAGCUA